AUUUCGUGAUGGGGCUUUCCUUAAUAACUCUUUAAAUCUUUCCCAUACCUCAUAUAAAGAUUUUUCAUCCAUUUGCAAGAAGGAAGUGAUCUCAUUCCGCAACGU
rfam:Gossypium hirsutum cultivar TM-1 chromosome 12, whole genome shotgun sequence